UACGUAGGUGGCAAGCGUUGUCCGGAUUUACUGGGCGUAAAGAGCGCGCAGGCGGUCGUUCAAGUCGAGUGUGAAAGCCCCCGGCUCAACUGGGGAGGGUCACUCGAUACUGAUCGACUCGAAGGCAGAAGAGGGAAGCGGAAUUCCCGGUGUAGUGGUGAAAUGCGUAGAUAUCGGGAGGAACACCAGUGGCGAAGGCGGCUCUCUGGAACGCAACUGACGCUGAGACGCGAAAGCGUGGGGAGCAAACAGG
rnacentral:rRNA from 1 species